rnacentral:piRNA from 1 species
UAAUGAAAUAAAUAACUAAGCACGAUGG